CUACUAGAAAACAGGCUAUACAGUACACCCACAUCUAAUACGGUUGUAAAUAAAAACCGUAUUAGAAAGGGCUAAAUAAAUAUAAUACGCCCAAUUACAACAUCUAAUACGGUUAAUGUGCUGUACUAGAAACAAGAUCAAAUACCUAAAUAAAAUACGCCAUAUUUUGGAAUAAAGUACGGCUCAAUACCUAAAUUGAAUACGCUGAAUAAGUACUCAGCUUCCUCAGCUUACAACAUCUAGUACUCAGCUUCCUCCUCCUACACUUCUCCGCCCAACCCAACACCUUAACACCACCCUUCCUCCAUCUCUACACCACUAAUCGGUCCUUUAUCUCUAUCUCCCCUGUCGCAACACCAUCAUCACCGGCCAGCCUCGCCUCGCACCUCCAAUAAUUCAACCAACCCACCACCGGACCAUCAUCAUCAUACGGCAAGAGCUUUGAUUUCUGUUUUUGCAACAGACAAACACAGGCAAAAAUACAAAGGAACUACAACUAUUUCACGAUGGAUAAGGGAACGUCUGUGAUCGAGAUGCAAAAUCAAAUGGUGUAUCAUGAAACUUGGAUGUGUGGACUACCAUGGGCUAGCAGUGAAUAUGUACAUAACCUCAAGAAGUUUCUUAAAGUUGUUGAGGAUCGUCGGGUGCAUAGAGCAGAAUGUUCCAUUUGGUGUCCUUGUAAAAUGUACCAAAAUUGUAAAAAGGUCUAUGAUUUGGAUGUAAUAGAAGAAUAUAUGAUAUGUGAAGGAUUUAUGAAUCGAUAUACGUGUUGAUCACAACAUGGCGAGUUAUUGAUUGAUCACAACACAAUUGAUGUCGAAUCUAAUUAUGAUGAUACAGAUGAUUCAGAGGAUGACAUCCAUGAUAACCUACCUCCAUUUUCUAUCGGUAUUCCAUCUAUGAAUGUUGAUAUUAAUGACGCUGCUUACUUAAGAUCGGACCAUAACGAAGGAUCAUAUGUUGAAGAAAGCAACACAGACGACACGACACUGGAGGACAAUAACAGUGAUAAUUGCAGUUGAGGUUCUUCAUGGGGAGAUUUACUAUGAUUGCAUUAUGAAAAACUUGUGUAGUAUCAACAUGAUGCGAGGAUAAAAACUAUGUUGAGUUUUUGAUGUUUAUGUCACAUGUAAUAUGUUCUAUAUUAUACAAAGUCAUGUUUUAGUGAUGAACAUUAAUCUUUGUUCAUCACUAAAUGCUCAAUUGCUCAUCACCUUCAUUUCCCCUUCUUCCUUUUAUGAAUUCAAAGAGAAAAAUAUAAUAUUGAUAUAAUUAUUUGAUAAAUAUAUUUAAUUAUUUUACUUUUUAAUAUGUUCAUUUUAAUUUUUAAUAUGUUCAUCUUGGUUCGGCAUCAAUUUUUUUCACAUGAUAUUAAUAUAUUGAAAUUGCAAUUACAUUCCCUUUUAUUAAACAAGAAACAAAAGAAAAAAAAAUAGAAUUUUUUUUGUCCUUUUUACAUAUAUAUGAACGUGAAUCCCAUUUUUCUUUUAUAUGGAUUUGUAUAUUGAAGGGGCCCAUCAGUAGCCCAUAUGAGCACAUAUUCAAUUCAUCAUCGGUCAAAAGUAAAAAUUGCAAACUUAACAAAAUUGACCCAAAAGUCAAAAUUGCAAUUACGUUCCCUUUUGCGUGUACUUGUUUGCUUAUCACGAGAACGACGAAGCCUUCGCCUUCAGCCGACGACGCCUCCGCAUCCGCCUCUGGCCAAAGACGCCUCUGCCUCCGGUCUUCGGUCGAAGACACAGAUGAAGUCUCCUACUCCGCCCUACAGCCGCUUCCGCCUCCUCCUUUCACGUUGUUUACAGGUACGAUCGGCCUUCUUUGAUUAAUGUUCUGUUUAUGACAAUGUCUUCUUUGAUUAAUGUUGUGUUUAUGCAAUGCUGCUUGUUGCCUAGGAGUCGAUAAUGGUUAUACUGUGUAAAAGUAUAAAUGCUACUCAGUUGUUGGUUUAUUAGACCAUAAUCAGUAAAAUUUCUAGUAAUCGACAAUUUCAACUGGUCUAUGAUAUCAUAAUCAUAUUAAUUUCUAGUAACCUACUUUUGGAGGGUAGAUUUAAACUACUGUAUGAUUUAGUAAGCACACGAGUAUUUACACAUGAUUCCAUUGGGUCACUAGUAGUAAAGUCUCCACUUUGUUUCUUUACAUUUACUCCCUCGGUCUGUAUUUCAGCUAUACUGUUAAACAACUUAAAAUUACAUAAAUCUCCCUCCAUUUUAUCUACAUUCUUGCCUUUACAUGGUUCAAACUUCACAUUAGUUUUCACAUCAGAAACAUGUUCCACACUAGAAUCAUUAUCAGAAUGUGGUGAUUCUUUAUGGAGGGUAAUCUGGUCUUUUUGUUUUGGACUGGUGAUUGAAGUAGAACUUUCACUCUCCUGUGAUAACUUGUCAGCUAUGGAUGCCAACAAGUCAAAGAAACAAAAAAAUGUGUCAAUAUGAAUUUCAAAAAUGUAUUUGUUUUCCAUCAGUGAAACAAAACUUUUGUAUAGUUUUAUCCCAAUUUAUUUUAUAUGGUUUACAAUCUUGAUUGCAUCAAUAGUUGAUAGAAAACAAACAAAUGGAUGGAGAUAUUUAAUAUUACCUUUCCAGUUUCAUCUCUGAUCUUAUUUAGGACACCAAACACACUAUAUAUAUAUAUAUAUAUAUAUAUAUAUAUAUAUAUAUAUAUAUAUAUAUAUAUAUAUAUAUAUAUAUAUAUAUAUAGUUAUAAACACAUCAAGAUUACAACAGGCAUUACCUCAAGCAUUCCGCUUUUAACGGAAUAUAUUGACACAACCCUUUGUAAGCUCAGGAUGUUGAUCUAAAUCAACUCUUUUUCCGGUGGCAACCAAAUGGGCAAAAUAGUCAUUUUGCAAUGUACAUUAUAAUACAAAUUGAUUAGCAUGACCAUAUUAGGGACCUCAGAUAACAAAAGGGAACUUGUUAGUCUCGCUAUUAUGAUGUUAGAUUUGAUGAUGCCAUGUUGGUAGUUUAGGCUGUCAGUUUGAGCAGCACUGCAACCAGGUUGGCACUUGAGGUUUCCUUUAUUAAAUCGGGUUGAACAUCAUCAAUUCCAAUUGAGAAUCCACCGAGCACUGCAUCAAAAUAAUCUCAUCAUACACUUUCACCAAACAUCUAUUCAGAGCUCACAACUUCUCCGAUAGCAGCAGCCUCACUUGGGCAGGAACUUAGGAUUGGCUCUUCGACGUUUUCCUCAGGACCAAAAGAUUCAGAGACUAUUCCAAUAUCAUACGUAUAUAAUCCUUUUAGUGCAAUCAACAAUUGUCUGAUUGGAGUGUGGUUACUACGUUAUGAACUGGAUGCAUGAGUUUGUACUUUUUCGACAACAUGGAUUUCCGAAUAACAUUUGGAAGGACAAAAAACCAUUUUCUAUUGAGGAAUUGGAUGAACGUGUUAAAACAUGGAUGAGAACUUUUGAAGAUAAAGUGAAGUCUUUUUCAAGUUAACGGUUAGUUGUUCUAUAUACAUUGUUAUAAUUGGUUAUGUUUUUCAAAAAAACAUUUUCUAGUGAGGAAUUGGACGAAAGUUUUUUUUAUGGAAAAUGUGAAAUAUAAAAGUAGGAUGCUAUAUUUUGUGUUUUAUUGUGGAAGUUUGCAGAUUUCGAGUUAAGGAGGUUGUUGUUAUGGAGGUACACAAACAUCCCUUGUAUUUCAUGUUGUAUUUGCUCAUAUUUUUUAUGUUGUGGAGAAGUUUUCACCCUUACAUUGCUAUAGAUGAAGGUGUUAAUGGCAGGAAUGUCCAAUAAUUUGAGUUUUCUUCAUUAAAAGUUAUUUGAGAUUUUGAAUCCUAAGUUUUCUUGUUUUUGUAGGCAUACACUGAAUUAGCCACAAAGGGGAAAGAGAGGUCAGAUGUGUGACAUUAACAAAUUUAAGAAUGUUUUUAUGUUUAAUGAACUAGGUAUACAACUUUUAGAUUGUAUAGAUUGUAGUAUGAAAGAAUAUUAAUGUUUUUAUGUUUAAUGAACUAAAUAGUUAUUGUAAUUUUUUUUUCUAUUUUUUAAAAUUAAAACAUGAUCAGUGAUGCCCCACUUCUUAUGGUUGGAAUGGAAUCAUAUAGUAGGUUUGUAUUUUAUGGAGAUUGAUCAAUUGGUUACAAUUCACAUGCUAAAAGCUUUGCAGAAAUCAAAGAGUUUGUUUUAGUUGGAAUAGUUGGAAUGGUGAUCCAUGUGUUCCACAGCAUCCAUGGAGUGGAAUUGGCUGAUUAAUAAGGCUGGAAUGCAAAGCCAGAAAGGGCUGGAAAGUCUGGAAUGCAAAGCUAGGAAUAGGAAUGAAUAAGACAUCAAGUACAGUUGUUUAUUGGUGUAUUAGAUGUGUAUAUAUGGCGUAUUAGAUGAUACUUGAGACAUCAAGUACGGUUGUUUUGGUGUAUUAGAUGUUUAUAUAUGGUGUACUAGAUGAUUGUAUGUAAUGAUUGUAUGGGAUGGUAUAAGAUACAUAUAAUACGGUUAAAUAGCCGUACUUUAUUAUGCA